AUGACUGAACAUCUCAUGCCUCAUGUAAUUGCUCAAUCAGUGUUUCAACCGCAGAAAGACAUCAACACUACAGCAUGGAAAUAAAACACAGCUGUCACAUUGCAUUUAAUUU